rnacentral:rRNA from 1 species
CAGCAGCCGCGGGAAUACGGAGGGUGCAAGCGUUAAUCGGAAUUACUGGGCGUAAAGCGCACGCAGGCGGUCUGACAAGUCAGAUGUGAAAUCCCCGGGCUUAACCUGGGAACUGCAUUUGAAACUGUCAGGCUGGAGUCUUGUAGAGGGGGGUAGAAUUCCAGGUGUAGCGGUGAAAUGCGUAGAGAUCUGGAGGAAUACCGGUGGCGAAGGCGGCCCCCUGGACAAAGACUGACGCUCAGGUGCGAAAGCGUGGGGAGCAAACAGGAUUAGAUACCCGAGUAGUCCCUGUCUCUUAUAC